rnacentral:rRNA from 1 species
GACGAACGCUGGCGGCGUGCUUAACACAUGCAAGUCGAACGGAAAGGCCCUGCUUUUGUGGGGUGCUCGAGUGGCGAACGGGUGAGUAACACGUGAGUAACCUGCCCUUGACUUUGGGAUAACUUCAGGAAACUGGGGCUAAUACCGGAUAGGAGCUCCUGCUGCAUGGUGGGGGUUGGAAAGUUUCGGCGGUUGGGGAUGGACUCGCGGCUUAUCAGCUUGUUGGUGGGGUAGUGGCUUACCAAGGCUUUGACGGGUAGCCGGCCUGAGAGGGUGACCGGCCACAUUGGGACUGAGAUACGGCCCAGACUCCUACGGGAGGCAGCAGUGGGGAAUAUUGCACAAUGGGCGGAAGCCUGAUGCAGCAACGCCGCGUGCGGGAUGACGGCCUUCGGGUUGUAAACCGCUUUCGCCUGUGACGAAGCGUGAGUGACGGUAAUGGGUAAAGAAGCACCGGCUAACUACGUGCCAGCAGCCGCGGUGAUACGUAGGGUGCGAGCGUUGUCCGGAUUUAUUGGGCGUAAAGGGCUCGUAGGUGGUUGAUCGCGUCGGAAGUGUAAUCUUGGGGCUUAACCCUGAGCGUGCUUUCGAUACGGGUUGACUUGAGGAAGGUAGGGGAGAAUGGAAUUCCUGGUGGAGCGGUGGAAUGCGCAGAUAUCAGGAGGAACACCAGUGGCGAAGGCGGUUCUCUGGGCCUUUCCUGACGCUGAGGAGCGAAAGCGUGGGGAGCGAACAGGCUUAGAUACCCUGGAAGUCCACGCUGUAAACGGUGGGUACUAGGUGUGGGGUCCAUUCCACGGGUUCCGUGCCGUAGCUAACGCUUUAAGUACCCCGCCUGGGGAGUACGGCCGCAAGGCUAAAACUCAAAGGAAUUGACGGGGCCCCGCACAAGCGGCGGAGCAUGCGGAUUAAUUCGAUGCAACGCGUAGAACCUUACCUGGGUUUGACAUGGAUCGGGAGCGCUCAGAGAUGGGUGUGCCUCUUUUGGGGUCGGUUCACAGGUGGUGCAUGGCUGUCGUCAGCUCGUGUCGUGAGAUGUUGGGUUAAGUCCCGCAACGAGCGCAACCCUUGUUCACUGUUGCCAGCACGUUAUGGUGGGGACUCAGUGGAGACCGCCGGGGUCAACUCGGAGGAAGGUGGGGAUGACGUCAAGUCAUCAUGCCCCUUAUGUCCAGGGCUUCACGCAUGCUACAAUGGCUGGUACAGAGAGUGGCGAGCCUGUGAGGGUGAGCGAAUCUCGGAAAGCCGGUCUCAGUUCGGAUUGGGGUCUGCAACUCGACCUCAUGAAGUCGGAGUCGCUAGUAAUCGCAGAUCAGCAACGCUGCGGUGAAUACGUUCCCGGG